GGUCUGGACCACGAGUGCCUACCUCGGGAGAAGAUGGAGAAGAAGAAUCCUCAAACAGAAAAUUCUGUGGAGAAACUGGCAUCAUUUCGCUCGAUACCAUGUUGAAGACGCGGAGUGACUAACGCUCUGUUUCCCCCUCCGCGGGGAACCCGCACGCACAAAGGCACAUAAAGGCGACGCCACAGUGGAGUAAUGCUGGGCGUGAGGAUGACACGAGAACUCCCACUGACCAGCCGUGCACGGAGACACACAACCCUUCAGCCCGGCGUGUACGUCAGGUCGGUUGUAGCUCCUCCCAGAUGGACCCCGCCCCUUUCUUCAGUUCACCUGUCUGUUACAGCUAUCUGAGCUUAGUCAUUAUUGGGUCUCUAUUUAGGGAGAUGCUUCUGGGUGUUCUGCGUUGGUGGGUUUUCUCUAGUUCUGUUUACACUUCAGAUAUUCGUUUCAUGUUUGUUGUUCCUCCCUGAUCCAUGGUUCCCUCUUCUUUACAACAUUGUAAUCAUAGGAAGGCAAGACACGCUGUUCAUCUGUUGCUGAGCAAAAAAAAAGAAAGCCUACUUUAAAUAUUGUUUCAUAGACAAUUUCAAUUCAAUCCAACAUGUUUAAGGUAUGACAUUUAUAUUGAAUAACACCCCAUUGUAGUUUGUGUGACAUGAGCUCAGUAAAACACAAUCGCCAGCUGUUCAGACAGCUGAUACAAUUACAACAGCAACAGCGUGAACAAUCAGUCUAUGCAGGUUGAUCCAGUUCACUGGAAACCCUGAAGACACCUGAUUUUUGUUAUUGUCCCUUCUUUAAAUCCACAUGAGCAACUGAAUCUUGUCCUGUAGGUUAUGUUGAUUACA